rnacentral:rRNA from 16 species
GAGCUGCGGUCACAAGAUGAUGAAGCUUCAUUCUUCUGUUGGCCAAAAUUCGAUACAAGUCGGCGAUCUUCGAUGAGGGGAUGGCAAGCGGUGGAGGAAGUGAAAGCUAAUGGGAUGCGAUGUGAAAUCGAUCGAUGUGGGAAGGAGGAAACGAAGUGAAAGCUCCAACCUUUUC